AGUUAUUCUCCCCUGAAGUCUUGAGACUCCGCUGAGGAAUUUUAUGACAAAAUUUUGAUUUAGAAAUGAAUGAUUUUGAGUCUUUCAAAAGAGAUUUUGAAUUUGGCAUGAUUUUGUGAUUGUUUGGAAGUGUUGGAAAGAUGCUCCAUUUUGAAAAGUGAUUCUUGGCAAGAUGUGAAUUGAGUACAUUUGUUAUUUAAA